rnacentral:rRNA from 1 species
GAUGAACGCUGGCGGCGUGCCUAAUACAUGCAAGUCGAGCGAAUGGAUUAAGAGCUUGCUCUUAUGAAGUUAGCGGCGGACGGGUGAGUAACACGUGGGUAACCUGCCCAUAAGACUGGGAUAACUCCGGGAAACCGGGGCUAAUACCGGAUGACAUUUUGAACCGCAUGGUUCGAAAUUGAAAGGCGGCUUCGGCUGUCACUUAAGGAUGGACCCGCGUCGCAUUAGCUAGUUGGUGAGGUAACGGCUCACCAAGGCAACGAUGAGUAGCCGACCUGAGAGGGUGAUCGGCCACACUGGGACUGAGACACGGCCCAGACUCCUACGGGAGGCAGCAGUAGGGAAUCUUCCGCAAUGGACGAAAGUCUGACGGAGCAACGCCGCGUGAGUGAUGAAGGCUUUCGGGUCGUAAAACUCUGUUGUUAGGGAAGAACAAGUGCUAGUUGAAUAAGCUGGCACCUUGACGGUACCUAACCAGAAAGCCACGGCUAACUACGUGCCAGCCGCCGCGGUAA